CUUAUUUUAUAUGUAAAAAUAAAUUUUAUUUAUUUAUUUAUUUAUUUGAGACCGAGUUUCACUCUUGUUACCCAGGCUGGAGUGCAAUGGCAUGAUCUUAGCUCACCGCAACCUCCGCCUCCUGGGUUCAAGCAAUUCUCCUGCCUCAGCCUCCUGAGUAGCUGGGAUUACAGGCACGCGCCACCAUGCCCAGCUAAUUUUUUGUGCUUUUAGUAGAGACGGAGUUUCACCAUGUUGAGCAGGAUGGUCUCGAUCUCUUGACCUUGUGAUCCACCUGCCUUGGCCUCCCAAAGUGCUGGGAUUACAGGCGUGAGCCACCGCGCCCAGCCCAAAAAUAAAUUUUUAAUCUAUAUAUUACUCUGCCUCUAUGGAUCUGCCUGGCACAGCCCACUCAGCUGCUUUCACAGGCUGACAUUGAGUGUCUACGGCUUUUCCAAGUCUGUUCCAGACUCAGAACAGAGCGACUCAGACUUGGAACACAGCGACUCAGAAUCAGGACACAGUGACUCAGACUCGGGACACAGCGACUCAGACUCGGAAGUGCCUCUUGACACAACUCAAAUACUUACACAGUACAUGGGACCCUCCAUAAUACAACCUCUGACUGAAUGAUCCAUUCCAAGAAAGAAGUGAGAGGACAUCUUCUGGAUGGGCAGAGCUCCCAGUGUUGGAUUUGGUCAGCUACUUUAUAUGGAAAGAUAAACAGGCUGAGGUAAGUGGCACAAUCCUGAGAUUGAGUGGCUCCUUAAAUGUUGCAUUCUAGGUGCCUCUUUUGCCUCACACUACUGUUGGUCCUGUCUGAGAUCAAAGGAUCCACUGCUCCUAUGAUGUCCUCCCCAUCCUUCUCAGAAGCAAUCAGUUAGAAAUAAAUUGCCCUCUUUAAAAAAAAAAAAAAAGGAAAGAAACAGGGAUCUUUCUGUGUUGCCCAGGCUGGAGUGCACUGACUAUUCACACAUGUGGUCCCACCACUGCUCAGCACAGGAGUUUUGACCUGCUCCAUUUCCAGUAUGAGCUGGUUCACCCCUCCUUAGGCAACCUCACCUGUUCCUGGGAGGUCACCAUAGUGAUACUAAACUUAAUGUGGACACCCAACUGGCAUACCACACUAAAACCCAGAACUCAGGAGCCCAAGCUAUGCUCCUGCCCCAGCCUCCCAUGCAGCUGGGACUGCAGGUGUGGACUACCACACCUGCUAGGUUGACUUCUUACAAGCAUAGUUGAGGUGCCAGCUUAUAAAUGAUACUAUGAGAAUGGGUGUCACUUUCCAGGGUAUCACAUAAGGCCUAAAUUAACAAUCAUCAUAUGGAGCUUUGUUCCCCAAAGGUAGACUUCAGGGGCUUGGGAACCAAAAGGUUUAAGUUGGAGUGGCCCUGAUAACCAUUACUCCCAGUGAUCCACUUGGAGGGAGCUGGUGUUUCUCCCUAUAUGUUUUAGAUUCUACAUGUCUAGAGAUUCUGGUUCCUAUAACAGUAUCAUUGAAUUUUAGACUUACUGCUACUCUGUCUUCCAGGAUCCUCGUGCCAAGAAACCAGCAGGAAUUGAAGGGAGGCACCACCCUGGAAGAAGUAAUUGAUAUGGUCUUCAGGAGGAGGAAGAGCAGCUGCUACCCAAUCAGAGCAGGAUAGGAUAUGUUUGGCCCUCUGUUCGUGCUGCCAUGCCCAGUUUUAACGGAAUAUAGGAAAAUACAAUGCCUGAGGAUAGCACAGUAACCCGGAACUCAAACAGCUCAAGAAUGAUGGUGUGCGUCACCUAAUGAGGCAAACUUCCUAUAUGAGCAGAAGUGUGAGCUGAGGGAGAGGAGAUCCUCGAAUGGAUCAUAUAGGAAGGUGGUGUCACUUAUAGUUUUGAAAUCAGCUGCAGCAACAGGGGCCGUCGUUCAUCCACCUUCCGCUUCUCUUCAUAAUUUCCCAAAAAAACAAGACUAAUCAGGAUCCCAGAAAGCUUUGCCCUAGGAAGACAGUAUUUAGGAAGCAAGUGGUUGUGACCCUCUCAGAGUUUAGAUGUAGUGCAUACUCUGUUGCUCACUCAGACCCUCUCUUUAGAGCCAAUUACCUCAGUCCUUUGCUGGGAAUUCCCAUUCACCAGAGGCAGGUGCCUUCAUUUGCAGAACUGUUAUGGAAGAGGCAGCCCAGGUCAAUGACUGUAUGGCAAGGAAAUUUGUCUUAAUUGGAAGAAUUCCAGACCUCCCCCACAGGAUCAACUGGGGCUUCAGGAGGAAACACACCGGAGAUCCCCUUCCCGCUGUUUAAUCCUGCCUGCCUCGUGUCCUUACUAGAGUAUCUCCUGAGAGCAUGUCCCAAAACCCUUUGACCCAAAUUCUCCGUCUCAGAAUCUGUCUCCAGGACUGAGUCUAAGACAUGGGGGCAAACAACAAGCUACUAUAAGCAAAAUGACUGUAGGAGAAGCAGCUGAGACAGUAACAACAGGAAGCUGUUCCAGCCAAGAGGAGGAAAGAAACAUGGUGGAAUCUCCAGGAGCUAGAGGGGUUGAGAGAGGUUUUAUUUCCUUAUUGUUGGUUGAUUGUUUAAGAUAGAAAAGGCUUAAACAUUGCUUACAUUUGAUGGAAUGGAGGGGGAGGAACAGAAGAUACAUAAAAAACAUGAGAAAAAAUGAAUGGUAUGAGGUUACAGAGGCAACAGGAAGGGUUGGAAUCAAAGGCUCAAGUGGAAAGUUAAGGCUUCACCUUGUUUAGAUGGGAUGACUUAAAAAUAUGACAGUGUUUCACAAAUGAUCACUCAUUUCAACAUUAUUCUUGACUAGUUUCUUCUUUCCCCACUUAUAUAAAUUGCUCCUUAUAUCACAAACUAUAUGUGCCUGUGCAUAUUUUUAGGCUCUUCUAUUUCAUAACCUCCUUAUCCCUCAUCCAAUAAUAAGUUGAUAAAAUUACCAUAGGUUUAUAUAACAUUUUGAUCAAUGGCAGGGUAAAAGCUUCUUUCUCAUUGUCCUCCUCUUCUACAAUUUUAAAUUUAUUUUCUAUAUAUCAUAUUAUUACAUACCAGCUCAGCCAGGAGACAGACCCCCACCCAGGCAGCGCUGAAGGAAUGAGAGGCAGACACCCAGAUAGAACAACAGAGUGGGUCUAUAUGGGGCGAGGGGGUGGGAGGGGCCGCAGCCUAUUAAGCUGAAAGCCUCAGGGACUGAUAGCAACCCAAGCUCAAGGCCCUGAGCAGAUUCUGAUCCACGCAUUUAAUUCUCUCUUAACAGGUGAUUAUUACUAAUAAACAAGUGUUCUGUAUUUACUCGUAACUCAAAAAGAUUCCCAUUAGGCAGCUGUUACCCACUUACCACUAAUUGCAAACUAAAAGGUAUUCUCCACAAGGGAGCCAGGGGGCAGGGUAAACUUAAGGUUUCUCAACAUCACAUACUUUUCUUUUUAAGUUUAUUACCAUAAUGUUUUACUUGUAGUUGCUAUUCAGAAUUAUUCUGUUACAUUUUCAAAGUUUUGGUUGUUAAAAUGGGAGAAUUAAAGGUUUUAUUCUAUUGCUCUUUUAUUGAUCCUUUUAUGAAAUUCAACGAUUUUUUACAUUUGUUCAUUUUCCUUAUUUUUUUAAAAAAGUAAUCUUUUAUUAAUUUAUAUUGAAUUUAUUUCUCAUUAACCUUAUUAUAAUAGUCAGGACCUACCAUAACAGCCUUUGAGAUGGAGAUUUGAGUGCAGGAAGAUUUGGGGGAAUUGCUCUUAAAAUCAAUACCUGUGAGAAGGAAGAGAUGAAAACAGGACUGGGCAUCAGAAACGCUGGGUUGUUAUGCAAUUGCAGUAAAGUCCUUAGCAACCCACAAGGAGCUCUGAAGCUUAGCCAAUCAACCCUUCAGAGUUUUGGCAAGGGGACCCAGAUGACCAGUCACUGCAUACUGCCUUGUCCCUAGAAGGGGCCACGACCUUGGGCCAGGUGACACUUCAAAUGAGGCAAUGCCUGACAACAGCUGAAGACUGAGAGUCGUUGACCAGGCAGCGCACGCAGCAACUUUCCAGGCAGCUGAGAAAAUGUGUGUCACUCCUGAAGAGGGAUCUGGUAGCACAUCACAGCAUUCACCGCACUUCAUGCAUUAAAGAUGAGGACACUUUCACGAUUAUGCUUCUUCCCGUAUCAAUUUUACUACUUUAGGGAGACACUGCAUAAUUUUUGUUUUAGUUUUUGAUAGAUAAUUUAUUUUUGUUAUGUAGAUUUAUUUCAAGAAUUGUAAUUUCUAUGUUAUUUUCUGUAAUGACAGCCUAUAUUAUUUUAGCAUUAUUUCCAUGUUCUAAUGGAUUACAUUCAUCAUGGGUCUUCUGCCCAGCAACUUCUAAUUAAUGAAUUAUAUAUGUGUGUGUAUGCAUGGAUGGAUGUCUUAUUUAGUAGUAUACACUUAAUGUAUUUCUUGAGUCCUUUCUCAUCAGAAAACGUCUGAUGCCUUGAAUUAUUAUGACAUUUUUGAGAAGGAACUUUUUUCCUCAUAAUUCAGCAGUAUCACUCAAUUGCUUUUUGUUACAAAAUGCUACUGAGAAGAUUCAAAAGCCAGGGGAGUCAUGAAAAUACACAAAUAACCAACAUUCCACAAUCCAAUAUUUUAAUAUUUAAUACUUAAGUGAUCAAUCACUUAUAUUUGUAAAACAAAAGGCUCAUUAUAAAAUAUUUGAGUAGAACUAAACUAUUAAGCAAAAAGUAU
rnacentral:lncRNA from 1 species